UCUGUCACAGGAAUGAGAUCAAGUUCAAGCUCCAGGACCGCAAACUGUUGAAGUGUGCUAAACUGCUGUAAAGAGAGGAAAAGGACUGUUAUUCGCUGGUUCUCCAACUAUAGGGAAUUACUGAAGCCCUUCAGCAGCGAAUUAUGCGCCAAGAGACUUAUCAUCGCCCAAUCAAGGUGACGUGUCCGUCUGAUAUUGGAGAGAUAGGUUCUAUUGGUCCUCAACGACUGCGAAGGGCAAUGUGGAUUUAAUUAUGAAAUGGAAGAUUCAUUCACUGAAGAAACGGAGUCAUUUGGGAUAAAGUAAGUUUUAAGCCAUAAUCAUUUAGUAUUCAUUUUUAUAUUGGUUUUUGUAGAACCAUUCCAAUCCCCAGCAACGUCAACCUGCAGAAGGAAUGGCCAGUUUGCAUUUUCUUUACAUUCGAAGGUCACGGAGAUCAUUACGUAGAACGUGCCAGUCAGUGGAGUAGAGGUUGGACCCAUCCCCAGCAACGUCUACCUGCAGAAGGAAAG